UCUGAAUCAAACGCUAAUAGUCAGAGUGACAGGCGGGGAUACAUCACAGCAAAGAUACAUUAAUAACUAAGUAUGCAGUCACAAAUAUCAGGUACAUUCGCUUUAUUGGUUUAUACAAUGGCAAAUUAUCAUAUUACAUAGACGAAUAUCUUCUUUUGGCAGCUGGCUCCAUCUCAGAUGAUAACAGCGAUUACUCCUCAUAGUCUCAACAAUCUUUUUAUUGCUCAAAGAAGUACUGCGUUUAUUUGCCAAGUGACAAUGCUUCACGGAAAGGAAUACGCCCAAAUUAUAAAUAGCAGAAUUAUCAACACCGAAGCCAAUUCCGUAUUAUAAUCCCUAAAUAAGGCUAUUAACGUCGAGAUUCAGUCAACACAAUACACGUCUUCGAGAACUUCUGCAAAAAAAUGCCCUCCAUCCAGAGAUUCGAUUAAAGAGCUACAACACUAAAAUACAACCUAUGACACGUGGGACUUCAUUUCCGUGUAUCUAGAACUCGAAACUCCAAAUGAACCAAUGGCGUGUCUCUACGGGAAAUGACGCCUUGUUUGUCACGAUCACGUGGUCCUCCGAACGCGCUUCGGGGUCCUGGCUUCAGGUGUCCCACCAUUAUUGACUGAUUUAGGAAAGUUGUUAAUAAACUGUGCACUCCAAAAAUAAAAACACCGAAGAGACAAUGACAGAAAUCGAAACGAAUACUGUCGAAAGUGUUGUCCCAGAUGAUGAAGAAGGCAACGAGUUUAAGCAGUGUAACCAAAUUUCAUUUUAUCGACGACAGAAGCAAGGAAAUAGGCAACAGUAUCACAUCUUGCUGAAUACUUUGGUGUUGACAGAAAAAGGAGCAGUAAUGGAGCUUCUGGACCAAAAUACCGAGGUGCAGCUGGUUCUACAAGUAUGUGCCAUCAGAGGUGGGGCUAUUAGGGUUUUAGUUGAUGAACUCAAGCCAAUUCGACCCCGCUACAAGGUUCUAGAUGUUUUAACAAGAGAACCAGUUUAUGAACGGUUGCGCUUAGACAAAAAGGAAGAGAAUUCUGUUACACUGGGUUGGGGUGUUUCUCAGUACCAAGUCCGCAUACAAGCCUGCCCAUUGCUGCUGGAGGUGUUGUGUGAGGGGGAGGUGACUGUCACAUUAAACCAAAAGAGCAGGCUGUAUUUUGAGGUACUACAGGAUCCACCCGAGAUGAGGCCUUUGACAUCGGUGGAUGAAGAAGAGGACCCCACUGGAUUGUGGAGGGAGAAAUUUAAACAUUUUGUGGACAUCAAAGCAAGUGGGCCAAGUUCUGUAGGUGUGGAUCUCAGGCUGUGUGGCUUUUCCCAUUUGUAUGGUCUUCCUGAGCAUGCUGAUACCUUCCAGCUGAAAGACACUAGUGACGGAGAGCCCUACCGCCUGUACAACCUGGAUGUUUUCGGAUACGACAUUCAUAGUCGCUUGGGACUGUAUGGCUCUGUCCCUCUUGUGCUGGCCCACAAUACCAGCAGGACUGUUGGCGUAUUCUGGCUAAAUGCAUCGGAGACCCUGGUGGACCUCCAGCGCAUGUCCGAUGGUGUGCCUUCCUCCGAUCUGCAGAGAUUUAGCCCUCCUCCAGCGAAGAGGAGGUCCUUGCAGCCCCACACAGACCUUAUUUGGAUGUCAGAGAGUGGUGUGAUUGACAGCUUCAUUCUGCUUGGCCCCGCCCCAGCCCAGGUCUUCUCUCAGUAUGCUGAGCUGACCGGUUACCAAGCAAUGCCCCCCCUAUUCUCCCUGGGUUACCACCAAUGCCGCUGGAAUUACGAGAAUGAGGCUGAUGUCAAGGAAGUGGAUGCCGGGUUCGAUAGCCAUGCCAUUCCUUAUGAUGUCAUGUGGUUGGACAUUGAGCAUACAGACGAGAAGCGGUACUUUACCUGGGACCCUCGCCGGUUCCCCAAUCCUAUACAUCUGCAGCGCCACCUAGAGGAGCGAAACAGGAAGCUGGUGGUCAUCAGUGACCCUCACAUCAAAGUGGAUCCUGCCUGGUCCAUUUAUUGUGAGGCCAGGAAGUCUGGCCACUUUGUGAGAGACAGAGAAGGAGGUCCAUUUUGUGGUCGCUGCUGGCCAGGUGUCUCAUGUUACUUGGACUUCAGUAGCAGCACGGUCCGGGCGUGGUACUCCAGUCUCUUUGCUCUGGAGAAGUACAAGGGUUCCACAGAAAUCAUGUUUAUAUGGAAUGACAUGAAUGAGCCGUCUGUGUUUGACGGGCCAGAGAAGACCAUGCCUAAGGAUGCUGUGCAUUAUGGGGGUGUGGAACAUCGGGAACUCCACAACUUGUAUGGCUUCUAUCAGCACUUGGCUACAGUGGAGGGUCUAGUAUCUCGUUCGCACGGCCUGGACAGACCAUUUGUCCUGUCGCGCUCCUUCUUUGCAGGGUCACAGAGACUGGGUGCAAUAUGGACAGGGGACAAUGUGGCCACCUGGGAAUACUUGAAGAUCUCACUCCCGAUGCUUCUGUCCCUGAGUGUUGUGGGGAUAGCCUUCUGUGGGGCGGACGUCGGAGGGUUUUUCCGGGACCCAGAGCCAGAAUUGCUGGUUCGUUGGUACCAGGCAGGGUCACUGCAGCCUUUCUUCCGGGGCCACUCCUGUCGAGAGAUGAAGAGGCGAGAGCCCUGGCUGUUUGCAGACCCCUUCACUGCUGCUAUUCGCGCUGCAGCUCAGCAGAGAUACCGCCUGCUACCUUACUGGUACACUCUCUUCUAUGACGCCCAUACCUCAGCUCAGCCGCCUAUGAGACCGCUGUGGGUGGAGUUUCCUGGGGAGCAGGACACCUUCUCCGUGGAGAAUCAGUACAUGAUUGGAAGUGCUCUUUUAGCCUGUCCUGUGACUGAUCCUGGGGUCACAGAGGUCAAGGUUGUCCUUCCUGGAUCCAGUGAGUACUGGUAUGAUGUCCAAACAAAUCUGUUUUUUGCUGGUGGGAGAACAUUAAGUCUGCCGGUGACCUUGGACACCGUGCCUCUUUUUCAGCGUGGAGGUACAAUAGUUCCCAGAAAGUCUGAAGCAGGUUCUUGUUCAGCCGACCUGCAGAAAUAUCCCUUCACUCUCACCGUGGCUCUGGAUUCCAAGGCUUGUGCCGUGGGGCGGCUCUUCCUGGACGACGGACACUCCUUCGGUUAUCAGGACAGGAAGCAGUUUUCUCUCCGCAGGUUUUCUCUGCAGGGGGGCCGUCUGGUGUGUUGCUCUGCCGACGAUGCAGGGCUCCUUGACCCUGGGUGCACGGUCAGUUCCGUCAGCUUCUUGGGGGUAAAGAAUAGACCGUCUGCUGUGACCACACAUAUUUCUGGCGUGGAAGAAAUCUGCAGAUCAGUCCAGUAUCAGGAAUAUAAGCAUUUGCUGCUGGUGGAAAAUCUGAAUCUCAAUGUGGGAAAAGACUGGGAAAUUAGAAUUCAGUAGAAAGCAGUUUACAAAAUGCACUUUGCAUCAAGGUUGCAUGGCUUCUAUAAGGCCUUGAGGGGUGGUGAAGCUGCUGAGUCUAUACAGGACUUUCAGAGAUCUCUGCAAGCUCGUGCUGAAAGCCUUCCAGUUCCAUGACGGCCUCCUCCAUUGGACAGUUGGCUUCAGAUUUGGACACACUCUGGUAAACCCUUUCUAACACCAACCACCUGCCCUGCCUCAUCUUCAGUCCAUCUGACCUGGCAUCAAAACAGUUCCAGACAGAACAGGGAGUUUAGUUAAUUGAAAUUACUAACAUGAUUGCCUUAUUUGUUAAUAUGAAUGUUAAAAGCAGAUGUCAUCAGAUGUUCUGUAAAAAUGCUGACUGGCUGUUAGUGGCCAUCACAGCAUCUCAUUUUAUGCAAGUUUUCUGUCAUUUUCGGAUAAUAUAAUAUCUACGGAUCCCAAAUGAAAUACUGAUACUGAUCCCAGAUGAGAAUUCCUUUGCAUACAGCAGCAAGUGCAUAAAGUGCAAACACAUAGUGCAAAUGAAAGACAAAGUGCAAAGAGAGUACACACUAUCACAUGGUAGAAAAAAAAUCUGAUACACUGGGACAGUCACAAAAUGCAGCUCAGCACUGAUUAACACAAAUGGCAGAUCCCUGAGAUUAUGUCCUGGACUCAGAUCGAACGUUUCAGAAUCAUCAAACUAAACAAAGUUUAACAAUAUUUAGUCCCCAAAUAGUGCCUUCUGUCAAAAUAAGAAGUGAUAUGCCAUGUUUUUUCAGUUUAUGGGAAUAUAGAGGCUUAAACCCAGUGGAUUUUAAAAUAGGUGUAACCUAAACUAGGUUGCAGGAUGAUCUUGCACCUCCAGCUGCUUCCUGCAGUCUCUUCUGUGUCCAGUUAACCGUUUGACUUCGGUAUCUUGCUUCAUUUUCUAUUCUAUCUUCAAGAGAGAAAUUGUUUUCUCAGGAUUCGGUGUCAAUGCACAUAUAACCUUAUUUCUGUCAUUUUUACAGUCACCGUUUAGUAUUAUCUUGGUCAGAUACAAUCCAGCCCUUAUCUUUGUCGAAAAUAUUUUUAUUUCCUUUCAUCCUAACUAGCAGGGUUUUUAGUCAUCCUGCUCGUAUUCACAUUUUCCUUCAAACUGUACCUUUGCUAUGAUGCAGAUUUUUUUAACCUAUUAGUAUGAGUAUACUACUGCUCCAGGUUAGGUAAUUUAUUACACAUGCUUGCAGUAAAAUAUUUGUCAUUUAAUUGUAAAAAAAAAAAGACCACUCAACAAAAGUGUUUUAAAUGAG